GUGUCCAGUCUGAUAGCCCCUGUCUCCAGUCAUGGCAGUGAGCACACAGACAGGACACAGACUAACAGCCAUCCAGUUAAGGGGACAUUUCCGCGAGAAGGAAUUGGUCCUAAAGGCAGGAUGGCACAUU